GUGCUUGAUUCGGCAGCACAUAUACCAAAAUUGGAAUGAUUCAGAGAAGAUUAGUGUGGUCCCUGUACAAGGAUGACAUGGAAAUUCUUGCAUCAAUCCAUCCUUUG
ensembl:snRNA U6 U6 spliceosomal RNA